UAUCUCGUCGGCCUUGCUGCCCGAGCGCAGAAAGACAGCGUGUGAAAUAACCACAGCAGCCGCGGCCAGGAGCCGCAGCAAGUUGAAAUUGUUCUGUUUUGGAUCAAGAAUUUGCGCGACGAGUACCGGGUUCAUCUGAACUCUCCUCGGUCCGUUUUCAUUCUUUCGGACGUCCAGCGCGGACCAAUAUUCUUUGGCGAUAUUGUCCACUAGCAAAAAUGAUGCAACCGGAGACGAGCAAAUCGGUUA
rnacentral:misc_RNA from 1 species